CAGGUAGGCCCAAUUAAUGAAGCAUUGAGCAUCAUACAAAAGAUUACAAGCUUAAUAAAAAAAUAAACUGCAUACUCCUUUCACGAUCACAGACUGAUCAAAUCCUAUCCUCAAUGGAUCAGGCAUAAAGGAAUUUUAGGUGAUAAAUGAAAUGCCCAUUGAUUAUACAGUCCUUAAUGAAUCAAUCCGUUCAUCUAGUUCAUUGUUAUGGCCUCUUUAUAAUCCUCUCUGAAAAUCUUUGCCCCUUUUGAUAAUCUUGCUGACACUAAUGUGCUACAAGUCAUUCUAGCUAGAGCAAUUCCAAAUGGCAGUUUGCCUCAAAACAUCUGACUGUGCCACCUGGUAAGCCGGUUCAGAUUUUAUGGAGCAGUAGUUCUCAAGUUCAGUCCUGUGGCCCCUUGUUGCAGUAAGUUUUUGUUCCAACCAGUUUCACAAUCAGUAAGCCAUUUUUCUCUUUAAUUGAUCUCAUUGUUUAUUUAGGUUACAUUUUUUAUUUCUUCUGUUAUUUUCUCUUAAGAAAAGUGUGUGUUAAAUUUACAUUUAUAAGACAUUAAGAAGUAUUUAUCUUUUUUGCCAUAUCUUUAAAUAAUUAGCUGUCAUUUUUAUUUUUUAAUUAAAUUUUCUCUCUUAGUUGUAUCUAAAAACUGACAAUUGAUGACAAGCAUAGCAGGAGAUGAGCCAGGGCAAGCUAAGCUGACUUUUAAAGGGCAGCGAUUUUAUUGUUAGUCACUUGUGUGCUAAUUAGUAAAUAAUGUUACAAAUAAUGAGAACCUUUAAAAAAACAAAAUAGUAAUUAAAAAAUAAUAUUCAUCUAAAUUCUUGCUUCAUUUGGUGAAAGCAUAGCAUAACCAGUUUAUAGUUGCUGGAUUAACAGUUUACUUAAAAUAUAUACAAUAUAUUAUCCAGUAGUAUACAUCCCAUGGUUGGGAUGAAAACCUGCAGCCACGGGGACCUCCAGGGCCGAACCUGGGGACCACUCAGAGCCAGUCAAUCCAAUAGGCAACAUAGGCAGCCAGCAAGGGCACCGUCAUUUAAGGUGCACCAUUUAUGUAAGUUAAGGGGCAUGUGUGCCGGACACCGAGGGGGAAAUGUUGUCCCCUGUCAUCAAACUCUAUGAUACUGAGUGGGCACUGUUUCCCUCUGAGCACCGUUUAUGAAAGUAAAAGUGUGCGUGCUCUGUACACCAAGGGUGCAUGCGCCUUAUAGUGUGCAGUAUAUACACAAAGCGACCCCCAAACAACACACCUACACCAAUCGGCAAAGUCUAAUAUUAUCAUCUGCACGGCACUAGGACCACUGAGAUGGAGCAUUGCUUCAGCUUUAUUUUAGAAAUACCUGUUUUAGAAAUGGAUCUGAGACAUUGUUGAGCAUUUACACUUGUUUUGCCAUCAUGAAAAGGAAAGUUGAUUGGCUUUGUAGUCAUCAGAAAAGCAGAGUCUCAAAUAUCUUUUAAUGUUUUUAUUCCAGACACACUAGUCAAAUAGAUUUAUUCAUCUGAGCUGUGUGGCUGACUGCAUGUGUGGUACCUAAGUCAUCUUGUCACAGUUUUUUGCUUGUUUGUUUAUUCUAAGAAAUCCUGCACUGUUGUAAACCAGGGUUAUUAAAAUUCCAGUUUUAGUGAGUCAACUUAAACUAAAACUCCAACUACGUAAUCCUCGCAAUUCUCACCUUAAAAUUCUGCAUAACAUUAAAUCUGAGAUGGUUUGAUUUCUCGCAUAACAACUCUAUUACCAAAAAUGGACAUGCUUGUUUUUAUCUCCAGUACCGCUCCAUUAAUAAGGCAAUUGAUGCUGAUUUUAUUCAGAAAGGUUCACCUAAAAGGAAUCUUAGAUAUAUAACUCUUUUAUAGACACAUAGGGAAAUUUUGAGCUGAUUAUGCUACACUUUAGUAGAAAAAAAAUAUCCUGAUCAGGACAAAUGUCCUCUCUCUUUAGUUGCUCACUACUCCCAGUGGGUCUUUAAGUUUAUAAAACACAAAAGUUGUAGAUCCAGAAAAGGUUAGCAUUCUACUGCUGCUGUUGUGUGGUGCAUAUGUAUGUGGGUAUAUACAGUAUAGUGUAGGAAAGCUGGCAAACUGGAUUACUGUAAUUUAUCAUUCUAAAAAAGCCCCUCAGUUGCCAACAAAUGGUAAAUGGUUAACAAAAUAAUUAAGUAAAUAAAUAUGCAAAUAAAUUAAUGUAUUGUGAAAUGGGACAAUAACAAAGAAAAGCACAAUGAUUAUGUCGUAAUUUGGGCAUUUUAGGUAUUUUGUAUUGUUUUCAUUGCCAUAUUGUUUCUCCGGGGUGCUGCCAUUUUGUGCAACUGUCAUCAAAAUGUAAUGACAGUUACAUUACAGAGUGAGGACCCUGAGGCUGCACAAUUAACAUUAUAAGAAUGCUGCUUUAAAGAUUGCCACAUUACAUGCACCAACAUCUGAGUUUUGUGGAUAAUUAAAUAAAAAUCCUUUGUGUUAGUAGUAGUAGUUCAAUAUAGAGUUCCCAGUUCCUGAUUUUUAACUUCUGUUUAUUAUUUUGAUUCUUGGUGUAUGAUUUUCAAUCAGAUGGAAGACAGGCCUGAUUCUUGGUUUUGACUUUGGGUAUGCUUAACAGUUCUUCUCUUGGGCACUUCCAUGUGUUUUGUUUGCCUUUUCUAGUGUGAGGCAUAACAGAUAAAUGAGAAUGAACAGGCAAAUGUGUUAUGAAAUACUAGCUGUGUAUGCCCGUGCUGUAAAAAGCCCAGGGUCCUAGAAACUAUUGAAAUCGUCAGAAAGAAAAUUGAAAUGUAGAGAUGU